AUGCCUGAUUGUAAUUACCUCAUCUCAGGUAAUUUGCUGGUAUUCAGAACAACUAUUUUAACUCUAUGCCUUUUUGUGAGUAUCCAUGGGAAUAUGGCUAAACAGAGGAAAACAACAAUUCCUGGCAGUGUCUUGCCUCCACUUUGCCACCUCCCUUAUAAAUUCUGUCCUCUGUGCAGCUGCCUGUUUCUGAUGCUCUGCUCUUGCUUGGGUUUAGGUUUUAUUCAGCACUGGGGUUUGAGGUUGACCACACUUCCAGUGACAUUUUGGCACAGAACAACAGCACAGGGUCCAGAGCGGAGUUCUACUAAUACCCGAAACCAGCCCUAAGAUUUAGUGUUCAUAUUUUUUUUAUGCAUAUUUUUGGGCAAACUUUCAAAGAGUUCCAGGGCAGGACGAGCUGCUUGGCAACAGACUCAGUUUAAACAGUCAGGAUCACAUGGAUGACUGCCAAAACCAACUGAGUGUUACCUGCUCGGGAUCCUGGGUGAGUUUGGGAAAGGCAAAGCCUGAGGGUGGGAGGAAGCUGUUUACGGUAAGAAUAAGAAAAGUGUAUGUGUCUUAAGUAUGUGUGUGUGUGUGUGUGUGUGUGAACAAGCACGUAUAUCACUCGGGGUGGAGUAUGAGUGUGUGGUGUUUUUUUAACCACAAUGUGAACAUCUGCAAGAAGGGAGGAUAUAACAAAGACUAAAGUGUUCGCAGUGAAAAUGUUCAGAUUUGUGAUUUUGAUUCAAAGUCAUUUUUGCAUUUGAAAUAUUUUAUUCAGUAGAUGUGUAUCUAUGCAGAUUUCUAGAUAUAUUUUUGCAUUAUUAGUGCACAGACACAUAGCAUCAUCAAUUCUUACCUUGGAUAAUCCCUGUAAUUUCUUCACCCUAUAAACUCUGUCCUUCAACAGAGCAGGCUUUCACAAUAAGCCUACUUAUUGUGAGGACUGAGCUCUCCUCACCUCCUCCUCUCAAACUGUCCCAUUGUCCCUCGCCACCUCUGCACAACUCUCCUUUUGUCAGAGCCGGGCUGCCAGCCUACUUGCCGUCUGCUUCUCCACAACGUGUUGUCCUUUUGGUUGGGCGAGAUGGCUCCGUCUAUGUGACUCACAGAAGCUAGGGCAGCAGGGGAGGGGGGGUGGUGGCAAUCAGAGGUCAAAGCCCCAAGCUCGCUCCACACUUUAGAGUCUUUCUCUGACCUUCAAAACUUCGCAAAAACACCCACUCAGCAGAAAAAGAGUCGGGGUUAGCGCGAGAGUGGAAGGGCAAGGGGAAAGAGAAAGACGGGCUCAGUCAAAUGAGGUUUGUUUGUGAGGUGCCCUCUUGACAAAGCAGCUGACUCCUUCCUCUGGACAUAAUGGGGCCUCUCAUCCAAGGCGAUGCUCUAAUCUGUUGUGACUAUGGUCACUUCACUGCCAGGUCUAUUAAUAGAGUGAUCCAUCAUCAUCAUCAUUUGCAUCAUCAUCAACAUCACAUGAUGGCCCGAUGAUGUUUUCCUCCUCUUCACUCUGUCAACCCCAAAUGGCCUGUUUUGAUCUAUUAAUGGUUCAUCUUCAACCUUUUCAAGAGCCACUAAUUUGAAGGCUAGAGUUCAUGAACUUUUUAACGGAGGAUGCAUCACUGCGUCCAACGCUGCCUGGCAGCUUCAAUAAAAGAUCGAGGUUUUGCAACAUAUCAUUAUUUUUAGAGAACUUGUGUAAAAUUAUACAGCAUUUUUCUUUAGAUUAUUUAGUUUAAUUUCACAUAACAGACCAAUAUGAAGCCCUGUGAUAGACAGGCAACCCAGUGUACCUCCAUGUUUCACCCUGUGACAGCAGGAAUAGGCUCCAGUCCAGAUGGAUGGAUAUUAAACCAACAGUGAGAAACUAAAUACAAAGCUCGUUCAGUCGUCAAAUAAAUUACUGUUGUACUAUUCCUGUACUAUUCACCAAAUAUAUUUCCAGCUUCGUUUGCCCUUCAGAAACUCUGUGCCUAUUUCGCGACACAAUUUCACCACGUUUAAAAUGCAUUUCGCAGACGAACUAAAUUAUUGAUGGAAUAUUUUAUUUCCCAGGGCCGAACUCUUUAGUAUUUUAUUUCUACUUUAUAAAUAGGAUUUAUAACUCGCUUCUAACACAAGUUGCUCUGGAAUCAUCAAUUACACCAGGUUUAACACCAGAUAUAUGUAAGACUUGGUGAUAGACACAUAAAAAACUCAAACUACUGCCAAAAGCAGAAUUAAAAAAAAAAAAAAGAACUUGCUGAUCUUACAUGAGGAAAUAGUUGGAGGGAAGAAGCCUCGCGCCUACACCCAUGCCCGAGGCAGUGUACCAAGGGAGUGCACGACAAGUCCAAAUGAGCCAGAGUGGAAAAAUCUGUAUAUCUAUCACUUGAAGACAAGUUGUACAUUAUAUGUCACUAAUAUUAAAAGACUGUCUGUCUUUCCUCACAACGAAUGUAUGCCAGGAAAUUCAUGCUGGCACCGAACUACUGCACGUUUUACUGUUUCCCAGGAAAAGCUAGUUUUUCUUUUACCCGACUACAAAUGGCCUGUAUUUGUAUAGCGCUUUACUAGUCCUUAAGGACCCCGAAGCGCUUUACACAUGCAGUCAUCCACCCAUUCACACACACUGGUGAUGGCAAGCUACACUGUAGCCACAGCCACCCUGGGGCACACUAACAGAGGCGAGGCUGCCGGACACUGGCGCCACCGGGCCCUCUGACCACCACCAGUAGGCAACGGGUGAAGUGUCUCGCCCAAGGACACAACGACCGAGACUGUCCAAGCCGGGGCUCGAACCGGCAACCUUCCGAUUACAAGGCGAACUCCCAACUCUUGAGCCACGAUCGCCCCAAGACGGCAAGACUUUUUAACAUCAGUGUGGGUCAGCCCAAACUGGGAACAGCCUCCUUGUUCUUAUUCAUGAUAAAAGGAGGGAGGCAAAAAGCCUGUUGGCAUACAGCCACACGGGCCGUCCUUGGCCGUGCAAAUCGAAAGGACUCAGAGACCUCCUCGGCAAGGUCGCAUGGCCGUCAUGCUCGGUGAACCUGAAACCGCCUAUUGAAGCUGUGAGUCAGGUAGCCGACCAGAGCUACGGGGGGCAGAGUUGCUGGCAGGCAGUGGGCCGCGUACUGCAGAGACAAGAAGUGAUAGAAAAAGCUGUUAGUCAAAAGUGUGGGUCACCGAUGUUAGCGCCAGAGGUCAACUCGCUCGCCUCGCCUUUGUCCCCUGGCUCCACUCAUCCCUCUUUUGCUCUGUUUACUCCCCUGUCCUCCUUCUCGGUUCAUUAGGCUACAGUGCAGGAACACGCAACCCCGGUAAUGAAUGCUGAGUGCGCUCUUAAUAAUCUCGCCCUGUUCAGAGUCAUAAGUUAAAAGCCAGGACAUUUAAUGUAACACAGGGGAAUGCGGGGGUGAAUGUGUUGUGGCAUGAGAGAACAAUUGGCUCCAGAUCUUUCCUCACUGCUUCUUGUGUGUGUGCGAGUGCAUCUGUUCAUCUUGUGGGGGGUGGGGGGUGGGGUAGCUGACAUUUCAUCCUCACAGUCUUGAAGUGGCAAAUAAAAUAUACUGCAUGAAUUCCUCUUCUCUGCCGAAGUCUACACGCAUUUGAUCCCAGUGUGUUUGCCGUCUGCCAAACAACUUUGAGAUUUUCUCUGAGUGGGUCCUCUCAGUUAUGGUUUGGCUCAGUAAGCCAGCCACAGCGGCUCGACUGAGUGUGUGUUUUCCUUUGGUUCUUUAUCUGCCACAUGGUCAAAACACGGCUUUGGCUUUUAAUAAAACAAAACUCGUCUUGUGCGUUGCCAUGUCGGCCUCCCUGGAGCUCAUAAUCAUCAUUUGGAAUUGGAAAGCCGCUACUCCAUCAUUUUCCGCUCUCACUUUGAUAAUGAAUAAAUUCUCCUUCAGAAAUCUUUGUGUGUGUGUGUGAAUAAUCACAUAUGCUUCCCAAAACUCCCCUUUCCACUUUGCUGCCUGUCAGCAGUUGUUUCUUGUCUGUGCCGAGGCUCAUCUUCACUGUCUGAUCUACUUCCCGGUUUCCUUCCCAGUCCAAACAAAAACAACUCUGCAGUUCUAGACAGCGGGAUGUCAUAACGUGGCUAAAGCCAGACUGGGGAAUCCCUCAGGGAAGGGUGGAGGGGUUAUGAAUGAAGGUCACAACCUUGAUGGGAAUGACAUCACUGAGAACAGAGAGGUACAGCUUCCAGAUAUUGUGAGUAAGUUUGUAGUCACACAAACACUUUCAUAUGUCACACCUGAACAACAGCACAGCCACUCUUUG
rnacentral:lncRNA from 1 species